ACACGACUACAUUAGAUACCCCGGUAGUCCUAGCCGUAAACGAUACUCGCUAGGUGUCGGCCACGGUGCGACCGUUGUCGGUGCCGUAGGGAAGCCGUGAAGCGAGCCGCCUGGGAAGUACGGCCGCAAGGCUGAAACUUAAAGGAAUUGGCGGGGAGCACAACAACGGGUGGAGCUUGCGGUUUAAUUGGAUUCAACGCCGGAAAUCUUACCGGGACCGACAGCAACAUGAAGGCCAGGCUGAAGACUUUGCCGGAUUAGCUG
rnacentral:rRNA from 1 species